rnacentral:rRNA from 1 species
AACGAACGCUGGCGGCAUGCCUAACACAUGCAAGUCGAACGAGACCUUCGGGUCUAGUGCCUCACGGCUGCUUAACGCGUGGGAAGCUGUCCUUAGGAUCGGAAUAACUCCCCGGAGGUGGUGCUAAUACCGGAUAAUUUCUACGGCCCAAAGGUUUAUCGAGUUUGGAUGGGCCCGUGUUGGCUUGGCCAGUUGGUAGGGUAAAAGCCUACCAAGGCAACGAUCGAUAGCUGGUCUGAGAGAAAGAUCCGACACACUGGGACUGAGACGCGGCCCGGACUCCUACGGGAGGCGGGAGUGGGUAAUACUGGAAUAUGGGGGGUGGCAUGAUGCAGCAAGGCCGCGUGAGUGAUGAAGGCCUUAGGGUUGUAAAGCUCCUUUACCCGGGAUGAUAAUGACAGUACCGGGAGAAUAAGCUCCGGCUAACUACGUG